CCCUCCUAGUACAGGGGAAGGCACCCACAGAACCGUGUGCUCAGCGCGAUGCCUGACAGCAUGGAAAAGUCACCCCUUCGAGAAAGGACCAUUGUCCUGGAGCAGCCUUCAAGGCCCAGCACGACACAUACAUUCCUGUCAGACACACCGAGAAAAGGCUCCCUGACACCCGUGGAUUUCGCUGCUCACACUUGGACGGGUCAAGGCAUUUUGACAGGUUCACAGUAUCUGCCUAAAUCUUAUCAGAGGGUAACUCUGACUGCAAGAAAGAGGUUCCAAGUGGCAUCGUGAUAUUACUGCUCACAAAUUACGAACUUGCUGGAAGACUUGAAGCCUUGGCCACACCAUUUGUCACAUGAAAAGAAGAGGAACAAGUAUUACCUGGUGUAUAUACUCAUCUCUCUGGCAGCAGGAGAUGCUAGAAUACCUGAAAGGAACACAAGAGAAUAAGUAACUGAGUUUCAAACACUUGAAAAACAUUGCAAAGAGAAUAAAAGUUGAACUCCCU
rnacentral:lncRNA from 1 species